ACGUCCGUCUGCUGUGUUUUCCAGUGGGUUGCGGGCGUGGCUUAGCUGCUCACAGUCAUCGUAUUUAGGUCGUAGGCAUUUUUCAAAUUCUGUCAUCUCUACAUGUCGAAUCAUUUCAUCGUCACAUGAUUCGAAUAGCCAAGGUUUUUGACAUCAGAAUGGAACAACACACUUGAGAAGCAUGAGCACCCAGUCCACAUGGAGGACCUCUGUGAUCGUUUCAGCCUAGUACAGUCAGCACUGGCCUACCUUGACAAUGCUGAUCAUCUCCAAUAUGUGAAAACAACUUGCUGUAAAUACAGCUCAGGAGAGGAACUGUUGGUGUAUCAUUUUAAACUUGAUGUGGACCCAGCGGAACUUACAGAAUUAAACGCUGCACUUGGAAAUUUUGUGCUUUUGAAACCGCUGAAGUCCACUGAGAUCUUUCAAGAAAUAGUGUUCCAGACUGCUCAGGAGUUGGAGCUUCUACCAAGUGAUACCACCUUGUCCCAGAUCUCGGUUGUGUUGAAACUGUCCAGCCUGCCAAGUCCACUAGAAGGUUGCAGAAUCAAGUGCAUGAAAGAUUUAUCCAGGAAUAUUGGCAGCUGUAACUAUGUCAAGUUUGAUGGGGUUGUCACUGGGAUUACAGGAAUUUCAAAAUAUACUCAAAGCACACGUUAUGUGUGUCCCCACCCUGCAUGCGAGGGAAAUGAAGGACACAAGUUCAUCCGGGUCCACAUUCCUGGAGCCUCAGAGACACAGACAAUAAGAAAUGACUUCAGAUGUAGUGCAUGUGGUUCAGUCUUAGAGGAAGACAAGAGUUCCCGGAUUAUAUCAGAUAAACUUUUAGCUGAGGUUGUUCAUGAAGCUUGCUUCCAAGAUGUCAUCAGUGUCAAGAGCAGGCAGCGAGUCCAAGCUGUUCCAGUAUAUGUCAGAGAUGAACUCUGUGAGAAGAUUCAGAUAGGAAAGAAGUACCAGAUAAUUGGCAUGGUGAGGAAAGACAUCACUGGUGAGGUGGUCAGCCUUGCCCUGGAGGCCAAUAACAUUAUACAGAUAUCACAUAUUCUCCACCCCCUGAUGCCAUCAUUUCUGCCUGAGAGUCUGUUGUGCUUGUACAGAGACAGGAGAGACUCACCCUGGAGCUUCAGCCUCAGUCUUGCCUACGUGUUUGGGGGAGAAGUUGCUCCACCUGGAUCAUACCUACAGCUGAAGCUUGGACUAAUGUUGAGUUUAGCAACUGUAUCAGAGGAGAAACCACUGCACAUACUUGGCAUUGGCAGUGAAGUGGAGGUGAUACAGAGACUCAUGGACUAUGGCCGCCAGUUCUGUGACAGGGGUGUGUGUCACAUGGCAGGCUGUCAUCUCUCUGGCAAAGUCAUCAGUGACAGGCAUGAGACCGCCCCAUACUUCAUAGAAGGUGGUUCCUUGUUGCUGGCAUCAGGAGGAGUGUGUUUCUUGGGGGAGCUGGGCAGGCUAAAGAGGAAGGUCCAGGAACAGCUGCAAGCAGUACUUGGCAGUGCUAAAGUGUACCUGGAGCUUGGUGCUAAACACACUGGUGGCCUCCCCCAGCGCACAGUUCAACCCCUCACAUGCCAGAUAUGGGGAUACUCAGACAACAAACCCAACAAAGGAAAUACAUCUGACGAUCUGUUCAGUCAUCAGGACACUGGAAUCAUUGCAAAACCAGUGCUGGAUGGCUUUGGGUGUGUCUGUUACGCUGAUGUUGAUGACAAAGUGACAAGAGAGGAGGUCGAUACCCUCGCAGCCUGCCAGAUUCUGGUACAGUCUAUGGAAUCUCAACAGCAGAAAAACAAACUACCUGUAUCAGCUGACGACUUCAGACAGUUUUUCCAGUACCUGAGCAGCUAUAGAACUAAGAUGACCAGUGAAGCCCUGCACUUGUUACAGACGUACUUCCAGGCCAGUAGGAAGACACGAGCUUGUUCAGACACUGGCACAGGCGUUCCCGUCACUGCCCUGGAAACACUUCUGAAAUCUGGAACAUGGAUGCUGUUGCUGCUGCAGAGGAACUAAGAUGUCUCCUCAUCUCUCACAACACAGCCACCCGACAACUUCAUUCUCUUGAUAAUGAGAUCAGUCGAUUGACCCAUAAGCUUGAAACACUCCCAACGGCAUGUCGUCUCCCACUGACCGAGCGUGUAACAGCCCUUGAAGGAGUACGUAGAAUGUUCUCUGUGUUCUGUUCACUCAAGUGGCAGGAAGUUCAGGCAUUUGUCGGUGAUAUCACUUCAUCACUGGACCAGCAACACAGUGACCUAGAGACUGAUGUCAGUUUUGAAGAAGAUGCGAGAGAUCUAGGCACAUGGACAUCUUGUGUUUCCCUCAGGGGACAGUGACCAUUCCAGCAUUGAGAUGGCUGAAUUAGCCUAUUUACAAAUUGACAGUGUUAACUCACAGUCUGUGUGUUCACAUCUGGAGUAGGCAAAUGAGAUGGUCAGUUGGUACUGCUCAGACAGACAAUAAUCUGGAAGUGGUUUAAAAAAACCAUGCAGACAUGGUCAGUAUUGGAAAAAAAUUACACAGUCGAUCGGCAACAUUGAAGGAUUCCGGCUGUGAAAUCAUUUGAGAAAUACUGAAGCUGUACAUGCUGAAAUUGUAAAUAUUAUUCAAUAGUGCUCUGGAACAAGUUGCA
rnacentral:misc_RNA from 1 species